rnacentral:rRNA from 1 species
GUGUCAGCCGCCGCGGUAAUACGGAGGGUGCAAACGUUGCUCGGAAUCAUUGGGCGUAAAGCGUGUGUAGGCGGCCUGUUAAGUCGGGUGUGAAAGCCCCGGGCUCAACCCGGGAAGUGCAUUCGAUACUGGCAGGCUUGAGUACGGGAGAGGGUCGCGGAAUUCCCGGUGUAGAGGUGAAAUUCGUAGAUAUCGGGAGGAACACCAGUGGCGAAGGCGGCGACCUGGACCGAUACUGACGCUGAGACACGAAAGCGUGGGGAGCAAACAGGAUUAGAAACCCUGGUAGUCC